rnacentral:rRNA from 1 species
UACGGAGGAUGCGAGCGUUAUCCGGAUUUAUUGGGUUUAAAGGGUGCGCAGGCGGAAGAUCAAGUCAGCGGUAAAAUUGAGAGGCUCAACCUCUUCGAGCCGUUGAAACUGGUUUUCUUGAGUGAGCGAGAAGUAUGCGGAAUGCGUGGUGUAGCGGUGAAAUGCAUAGAUAUCGCGCAGAACCCCGAUUGCGAAGGCAGCGUGCCGUGCCGCCACUGACGCUGAGGCACGAAAGCGCGGGGAUCGAACAGG